CUCACAUCGACCAACGAUUAAGUUUUAAAAUACACUGGAGCCUAAGAAUGAAACUGAAGCUCUUUCACUUACCAGCAGAUGCUGAACUUGAUGGAAGCAUGUGUCUUUAUCCCAGCAUAUAUGAAGUCCUUCUAUGUGCUAUUUUAAAAGAAGACUAGGGCUGGGCACGGUGGCUGACACCUAUAAUCCCAGCACUUUGGGAGGCUGAGGUGGGCGGAUCCUUUGAGGUCUGGAGUUCGAGAGCAAACUGACCAACAUGGUGAAACCCCAUCUCUACUAAAAAUACAAAAAAAAUUAGCUGGGCGUAGUGGUUCACACCUGUAAUCCCAGCUACUCAGAAGGCUGAGGCAGAAG
rnacentral:lncRNA from 10 species